AUCUUUAAAUCCUCAAAACAAAACAAAUCCAUAAAAGAAAACUUAAUUUAAGAAUCAGUAAGGAUAGGCUAGCAAGUGAUGUGGUAUUAGCUCGGUUCAGUGAACUGGAGUAUGUUUUCACGCUGCCAUACUUUCAGCAUCACUGUGGGACUGCCCUCAGGAGGUUUCCCCCCUUUCUGGCCUUCAGCAGCCCUGCCAGUCCUAGGAUAAGAAGCACCCCGCAGCACCUCCAUCUCCACCCUCCCAUGGCCGAAGAGCAGUCCUUUUGGUUCCCACUACGCCGAUCUCCACACACUUACCUGGUGCUGCUCACUGCCCAGGCCAUCUCCUCCUGCCAUUUCUGCCAUUUUGUUAGCAAGCAGCCACCGCUCCUCCAGCCCACAGCAGGAGACUGCCCUUCUCACAGCACCAGGGGUGAACCCUGUGACUGAACCCCCACCAAAGCAGAGAGCAUGCUUUCCCUCCAAAACUGUGUUGUUUCCAACUUUUUUUUUUUUUUUGAGAGCCCCAGAAGCACCCUCAGUCACAGGCACUAAGUGAGGCACUGGCUGCCCCUGAAGCGCUGACAGGCCCAGAGGCACUCUGUGGAACCUUCUGGAGCGGGCAGCAGCUGGGGCAGGAUGGGCUCCCCCCAGGUGGCUGAGGGAACACCCACCCAACCCCCAGACUGGACUUCCUUCCCCAAAAGGCAGAUGGCGGAAAAUGGGGGCUCUAGAGGCACACGUGGUAAGAGAAGAAGGUUUAAAUUAAGAGAAACCAGCAGUGAGGAGACCACCACAAGGCUGCAGCAGCAGCUCCGCGUUGACAACAUGGCUGCUGGCCUCUUCUGGAUGAAAGAGCAGGAAGAGGAGCUGCAGCUGCAUGGGGCCCCCCAGUCCAGCCAGGCAUGAGUGGUCACAACUCAGGAGAAGAAGGUUUUGGCAAGUCAAUUAACAUUGCUGUAGAGCAGAGCCCAGGAGAGGAAUGGACAUAUGGGGCAGAAAAACACAUUCCACUAGUGGAAACUCCACACCAGACAUAGAAAAGUAAACUAUGCUGCAUGUUGCAGAGCUCUCAGCAAUACAGGAGUUACCACAGCAAACGUGCACCUUUGGAAGGCAGGUAUUUCAGAGGGGAAAGGGGCAGGAGCUUCAGGACUUAGGCCGUAUUAGCUAUUUCUGAAAAAUACCUUCCAAGGCCACAGUUGGAUCAAAUGGGCCAAGCAUGGGAAGAGGGUGCUACCUUGAAAUCCGUUCCACCAGAGCCAUAUUCUCAUGCACACUCGCUUCCUGCUCCCAAGAGACCUUCCUGCUGCACUCGUUACUGAACAGCAACUGCUAGCACUUGUUUGGUCACAAGCACCUACCCUGUCCAAAGCACAUUGCAGCUUCAUGGUUGGACAUAAGGAACCUACCUUCACCUAUCAUCACCAGAUGAUACUGACCAGGUGAUAUUGGAGGUC